CAUCCCUGAUAUGGAGACAGGGAACCCAAAACACCAAGAGCAGUGGGUGCUUAGGAAGCCACAGAGCUGGGAGUAGAGCCCCAGCAGCCUGAUCCAGAGCCCCUGUUCUUCACCACCACCCUGCCCUCCUCCAGGGAGCACAGUGGGGGUCCUGGAGCCUCUUUCCAUCUGUUGGAUCUCGGUGAGAGACCAGGUGCAAGCAGUUUUCCAAAGCAGGCUGAUCAGAGAAGACCUCCAAUUACGUGUGGGGGAGGGGAAGUGGCCUCACACAGACAUGACCCUGUGCCACCACGAAAGCAGGGACACUGAUGCUGGGUCCUAGGUCUUCUGAGAGCCACCAUUCACUGAUUGCAGGCACGGUGACCCUCCACCCCCAGCCUAGCCUCCCAUUCCCUGCUCUGGCAGAGCUUGUAUGCUAGAAUGAGCUUCCAAAAAUUCCUCCACUCA